AAGCUUAAUAUAUGCAUAAAAAUUUGGAUCAAGUACAUAAUUUAAAUUACAAAACAAAACUUUGUUUUCUUCUUUGAGUUUUUUUAAAUGCAUCAUUUUGUUUUUGAAUUAGGAAAAUUGCAUAUGAUGAAAAUCACACCAAUUGAAGUUAGAAGAAAAGCUCUAAUUGUAUUUUUAUUAAUAAAUAUUUAAUUUAAUUAAAAUGUAUUUUUAAAAAAGUUUUAUAAAUAUAAAAUAAUUGGGUUAAUUGUUAAAUUUUUAUAAGUUGAAGGUACUAUUAACAAUUAUUAACUAAAUAAAAAGAAAAUUAUUUGUGAAUAUUUUUUGGAGUAAGAAAAUGGAGUAGAACUCAACUCCAUUUUGGAAUUACACCAUUUUAGAGUAAAAAUUUGAGUAUUACAUUGGAGAUGCUCUAAAAGACUUAUUUGGUCUCAGUGGCGAAGCCAGCUUGAAAGGUGUGGGGGCCUGUGCACCCACAAUUAAAUUAAAAGUUUAAAAAAUUGUAUGUAGAACAUCAAAUAUUUGCUAGCUCAUAGGGUAAACAACAGUUUGUGCACCCCUAGUUUUGCAAGUUCGAUCUUUUUCCUAUGCAUAUUUAUUUUUCAUUAUCAAAGGUGCACCCAUUCAUUAAAUUGUCUAGCUUCGCCCCUGUUCGGUCUUAUACUUGGAUAAGGGUUAGUCACCACGUACAGUAUAGAUUCACACCAUUGAAAAUGUUCUGAUUCUUAUGCAACAAUUAAUGAUACACAACGAAUGAUGCAUAAAGGUGGAUUUAGUUUGGAUGCAUCAAAAUGUAUAUAUGGGAGCCUUGAACACACUCGCACAAACUUCAUAUUCUUCACAUAGUCUACACAGGUACCAAACAUUUAUAGGAUACCUACCUAUACCCUUCAAAUCCUUGAAUAUUUACUCUUGCCACUAUGUUUGAUCGUUGGAUGCUUUGGUCACUUCUCCAUCACUUUUUUAUGAUGCUAGACAGCCUAGACGGCUAGUUUAACCUUCUUAAUUUUUAUCUGUUCUCAAAUUUCCAAACUACUAGCCCGCCCAAAACAAUGGUUGAACCUAGGAAUUAUUAUCGUGUAAUGAAAUAAUAACAAAAAAAACAAAAUAAUUCCUUGUUUACCAAAAUCAAUUCCUUGUUUACCAGCCUAGGAAUUAUUAUCGGUGAAAUAAUAAUAACAAAAUAAUUCCUUGUUUACCAAAAAAAUUAAAAAAAAAAUAAUUCCUUUUAUAUAGAAAAUAAACAAAGUAAUCAAAAAUUUAUGUAUAUAAUAGAAAUAGGACAUGUAAAGAAAAGAUAAUUAAGGGAGAGAGGGUCACAUGGUUGUUUCAUCUCUUUCACCUCAUCUAAUGGAACCACUUGCAUCUAUAGUUUGAUUAGUUCAAUUCGGGUUUUUAGUUAAAGAAAAUUAUUGUUUGAUUAUACUUUUUGAAAAAAUAGAAUCAAAAUAAUUGAUUGCUAGACAUAAUGAUAAUUGUUUUAUCAAUUGACCGAAUCAAACCAAAUUUUUAAUUGAAGUCGAACUGAAAACUAAAAUUUGGGUUUGAUUCCGCUCAACCGGCUUGGUCCGGAAAAAGAAAUAUCAUACCUACUUGCAUAUGUUCCAACCGGCUUGGUUCCGCUCAACCGGAACUGAAAACUAAAAUUUGGGUUUGAUUCCGCUCAACCGGCUUGGUCCGGAAAAAGAAAUAUCAUACCUACUUGCAUAUGUUCCAAUAUCUGAGAUAGACAAAUGCACAGAUAUAAAUCACACCGAUGCAUCUAUCUAUCUAUAUAUCUAAUUAUAUAAAGUAAAAGUUUUCUUUCCUUAGAGAGUGCCACGUCAAUAAUUCGUUUCUUCCCAGCGCGACAUGUGUCCUCCUUAGCCAAAACUCACAGUUUCAAUUAUGCCUUUCUCAUAAUUUGGUGGGCCUUGCUCUUUAUUCAUCCCAGAACAAUGAGUCCAUCAUCAAGAGUAUUAGGGUUUCACGUUCUUCUUCCAUGAUGAAGCGAAGAGACCUUCGAUCUUUGAUACAUCGAUGGAGUUUCAAUGUUUGCAAUCCAUGUUAAUCAUGGCUCUAAGAAUCUUCGAUAUGGCGUUAUGUCUUCUCUUUGCGUAGACGAAAUAUUUCCCCUAAAUGAUUCGAGAUCCAUCCUUUAUCGUCUUCUUAACUCCACAGACCGAAGUGAGACAUGACCUGACACUGAAUGCGAGUUUACCCUCUGCAAGGCGGUGUUUCUACACUAUAUAAAGUUGGCUGAACACAAACCACAUGGUGGUGGAAGAUCUUUGCUGCUGUUGCUCAGUGUGAAGCGGGCUUUGU